rnacentral:rRNA from 1 species
UACAGAGGGGGCAAGCGUUGUUCGGAAUUACUGGGCGUAAAGGGCGCGUAGGCGGCCUGCUAAGUCGAACGUGAAAUCCCCAGGCUCAACCUGGGAACUGCGUCCGAUACUGGAUGGCUUGAAUCCGGGAGAGGGAUGUGGAAUUCCAGGUGUAGCGGUGAAAUGCGUAGAUAUCUGGAGGAACACCGGUGGCGAAGGCGGCAUCCUGGACCGGUAUUGACGCUGAGGCGCGAAAGCCAGGGGAGCAA